rnacentral:rRNA from 2 species
AAGGGAGCUUGCUCCCGGAUGUUAGCGGCGGACGGGUGAGUAACACGUGGGUAACCUGCCUGUAAGACUGGGAUAACUCCGGGAAACCGGAGCUAAUACCGGAUAGUUCCUUGAACCGCAUGGUUCAAGGAUGAAAGACGGUUUCGGCUGUCACUUACAGAUGGACCCGCGGCGCAUUAGCUAGUUGGUGAGGUAACGGCUCACCAAGGCGACGAUGCGUAGCCGACCUGAGAGGGUGAUCGGCCACACUGGGACUGAGACACGGCCCAGACUCCUACGGGAGGCAGCAGUAGGGAAUCUUCCGCAAUGGACGAAAGUCUGACGGAGCAACGCCGCGUGAGUGAUGAAGGUUUUCGGAUCGUAAAGCUCUGUUGUUAGGGAAGAACAAGUGCAAGAGUAACUGCUUGCACCAUGACGGUACCUAACCAGAAAGCCACGGCUAACUACGUGCCAGCAGCCGCGGUAAUACGUAGGUGGCAAGCGUUGUCCGGAAUUAUUGGGCGUAAAGGGCUCGCAGGCGGUUUCUUAAGUCUGAUGUGAAAGCCCCCGGCUCAACCGGGGAGGGUCAUUGGAAACUGGGAAACUUGAGUGCAGAAGAGGAGAGUGGAAUUCCACGUGUA